rnacentral:piRNA from 1 species
UGGAGUUGUCUACUUGUUCAAGCCUUC